rnacentral:misc_RNA from 1 species
AUGCGGGAUAAGAAAAUGGCGGCAGACCGCGCACAAAACCUACAGGACACUUUCCUCAAUCACGUUCGCAAAACCAAAACGCCACUGACGAUCUUUCUGGUCAAUGGAGUGAAGCUGCAGGGCAUUGUCACCUGGUUCGACAAUUUCUGUCUGCUGCUUCGGCGCGAUGGUCAUUCGCAGCUUGUCUACAAGCAUGCGAUCUCGACGAUCAUGCCGGGCGCUCCCAUCCAGCUGUUCGAAGGCGGCGAGGACGCGCCAGCUUGAGAUUGAAUUAAUUUGGAACCCCGCAACUUCGACGGGGGCGCCGACCGGCCUAAGUCGGCGCGGGGCGAUACAGGACGGGUGCU